UACGUAGGGUGCGAGCGUUGUCCGGAAUUAUUGGGCGUAAAGAGCUUGUAGGCGGUCUGUCGCGUCUGCUGUGAAAAUCCGGGGCUCAACCCCGGACUUGCAGUGGGUACGGGCAGACUAGAGUGUGGUAGGGGAGACUGGAAUUCCUGGUGUAGCGGUGAAAUGCGCAGAUACCAGGAGGAACACCGAUGGCGAAGGCAGGUCUCUGGGCCACUACUGACGCUGAGAAGCGAAAGCAUGGGGAGCGAACAGG
rnacentral:rRNA from 1 species